UCACGCACAGGGCAAACCACUUGAAAGGGUGGGACGCAAAGCCACCGGCCUAAACCAAAUUUAUUUGAUAGGUAGCGGGGUUACCGAU
rfam:Vibro shilonii strain QT6D1 chromosome 1, complete sequence.